rnacentral:rRNA from 1 species
UAUUUAAAGAUUUAUUUAUCUUAAUAUUUUAGAAUAAACUUAAAUUUUAGUUUUAAAAUAAAAAAAUAUGUGUUGUUAUAGUCUAUUAGUAAUGAAAAUGAAUAUUUAAAAUAUUUAAAAUUUUAAAAAGAAAAAUUUAUUUUUUGUACCUUGUGUAUCAGGGUUGAUUUAUUAUAAGUUAAUAAUUUUAAUUUUCUCGAAUUAAUAAGAUCUAAAAAUUUAAUAUUUAAUUGUUUUAUAAAUUUUUAUUAUAAAUUUUUAGUAAUGAAACGUUUUUCGUUUAUUAAUAUAUCUAGUUUUUUAAGAAAUAAAUUUAAUUUAAAAGAUAAAAUUUUAUAAAUUAAAUCUUAAUUUAAUAAAUUUUAUUAUUAAAAAAUUUAGGGGAUAAGCUUUAAAUUUAAUUAUUAAAAAAAAUUAUUUUUAAUAUUUUAGUUUUACUAAUAUUGUAAAUCUUAUUAUAAUAUAAAAGUUAUUAUAUUUAAAAUUUUAAUUUUCUUUUAUUUAAUUUUUUUAUUAAAAUAAAAAAUUUAAUUACAUAAUUUUUGUGUUUAUGAUUAAAUUAGUAAAAUAAAUUUUAUUUUAUAAAUUUAUAUUUAAGAUAAAGUUAAGGAAUUCGGCAAAUUUAUUUUUCGCCUGUUUAUUAAAAACAUGUCUUUUUGAUAAAAAUAUAAAGUCUAGUCUGCUCAAUGAAUAUAAAAAUUUAAAUAGCUGCAGUAUUUUGACUGUACAAAGGUAGCAUAAUAAUUAGUUUUUUGAUUGAAAGCUGGAAUGAAGGAUUGGACGAGAAAAUUACUGUCUCAAUUUUAAAAAUUGAAUUUAACUUUUAAGUUAAAAGGCUUAAAUUAAUUUAAAAGACGAGAAGACCCUAUAGAGUUUUAUAAUUAAUAUUUUUUAAUAUAUUUAGAAUUAUUAAAAUUUAAAUUUAUAUUAAUUAUUUGGUUGGGGUGAUUAAAAAAUUUAUAAAACUUUUUUAUUUUAAAAAUUAUUUAUUUGUAAAUUAAUUUUCUAUAGAUUAUUAAAUUUAAAAUAAAUUACCUUAGGGAUAACAGCGUAAUAUAUUUUUAAAGUUCUUAUUUAAAAAUUUGUUUGCGACCUCGAUGUUGGAUUAAAAUUUAUUAUUGGUGCAGAAGCUAAAUAAUUAAGUCUGUUCGACUUUUAAAAUUUUACAUGAUCUGAGUUUAAACCGGUGUAAGCCAGGUUGGUUUCUAUCUUUAGAAAAUUAAAAUUUUUUAGUACGAGAGGACCAAAAAUUUAUUAUAAUAUUUUAUUUUUUGAAUAAAAUU